AAAUGGAACUGAUAUUUGCCCAAAGUUGGUCAAAAUGAAACUGAUAUUCGCUUUUAAUAUUGAAAGUAAAACUCGGAAAAGUUUGGUAAAAGUUUGGGAUAAAAGAUGGUCGAAAUAGGUCAAACUUAUGAAAUAGUUCGCAAUUUUAACAAUUUUAAAGCUUUUGUUGUUUGCGGUGAAAAAAUUGAAAACCUUGCUUAUCUUGGUCGAAAAAGUUUGAAUAUGCUUAUGUUAG